rnacentral:lncRNA from 10 species
CUUCGCGGCCGCCUCCCGCCGCUCCCACCCCCGCUCCACGCCGCCGCCGCCGCCUCCUCCCGCCCGCUCUCCUCCCCCUCCCGCUCCCUCCCGGUGCCCAGCCCCCAGUCCCGGCCCGGCGCUGCGCCGGGGCAGCUCGCAGCCUCCCCCUCGUCCCGCAGCGGGGAGGGGUCUCCCUGGAGACUGAAGGUUGGGGCGCGCUGCCUCGCCCCCUAGCCCAGAGGGGCGUACCCGUGCGCCGAGAGCCCCCAAGCCCGUCUCCCCUUACCUCCUCGGCCCAGCGCCUACCUCCCCGAAUCGCGGCCGCUGGGAGCGGGGUUCGAUCCCGUGAUGCCGCGUGGGUGCCGGCCAGAGAAGAGCUCCGGAGGCCGGGGCGGCCGGCGGGCGUGCGAAUGUCAUCUUUCCCAACAAGUUGUUCCCAGCAGAAUCCUCUCUCCUGGCACAAAACAAGCAGAUGAAGAGCAGCCCUGAGAGGUAGACACAGCGGAGAUUUUUUUCACCCGCAUUGUACAGAAGAGAAAAUGAAGCUUUGCCCAACCUGCAGGAGAUCCCCUCACCUUGCAAAAGAGCCAAGCUGUGGGAUCUUCAGUCCCUGGACCAUUUAGCUUGACUAAGAGAACAGGAAUGGAGGCCAAAAGAUCUACAAAAUGCUCACACAGAGAAGAUGACAGCUUCUACAAAUAAAUGUCAAUCAGUUCAUUUCCCCUUUUACUGUGUUCAUUGUAAUGCACCAAUUACAACCUGACAAAAGUAAAACACUGCCAAGCACAAGUGGUCUUUAGAUGACCCUUAUCAUCUAGAGGCUCAAAGUCCCUUGAGGAUAAGGCCUGGUCCAGGGCCCAGGGCUGAGUCCAGGCCUGGCGAGCAGAGUGCUAGGCUCAGGUGCCGUCAGGGCGGUAGGUGUGAAGGGCCGUCCAGGGAUUGUUCCUUCCCAUCCUCUCAGCUGCUGGUCAGAGGGGCUCUGCCCUGGACUUGCCCUCACCACAGGCCAUUUCUCAUCCACUCCUCCACCAUCUGACCUCCUCAUUCUGCGAUUCUGAUUCUCUUCAUUUUAGAACUAACACUUUUGACAUCAUUCAAACCAAAACAUUAGAUUAACCCCCAGAAGAGGGGAGAGGUUCAAACGGACACUGAAAGGUUAAGUGGCUGACUCAGGAUCCCAGUGUCUGCACAGCAGAAUCCAAAAAUGCUCCCAAUGAGUGAAGCAGGAAGGGGUGGUUGAAGUUGCCUGGCCUGGAGGUUGUCUGCAGUUCUCCAUGCCCAUCACUCCAUACACACACACAAGACCACUUUGUUUCUCUGUGUUAUUCUCCUGUCCCUGAACACAUCCAAUUCUCCUUAUAGAAAUGAAGAAACUGCCGGGCACGGUGGCUCAAGCCUGUAAUCCCAGGACUUUGGGAGGCCG